rnacentral:rRNA from 1 species
GACGAACGCUGGCGGCGUGCUUAACACAUGCAAGUCGAGCGGUAAGGCCCUUUCGGGGGUACACGAGCGGCGAACGGGUGAGUAACACGUGGGUGACCUGCCCUCAGCUCUGGGAUAAGCCUGGGAAACCGGGUCUAAUACCGGAUAUGACUCCAUGACGCAUGUUGUGGGGUGGAAAGCCUUGUGCGGCUGAGGAUGGGCCCGCGGCCUAUCAGCUUGUUGGUGGGGUGAGGCCUACCAAGGCGACGACGGGUAGCCGGCCUGAGAGGGCGACCGGCCACACUGGGACUGAGACACGGCCCAGACUCCUACGGGAGGCAGCAGUGGGGAAUCUUGCGCAAUGGGCGAAAGCCUGACGCAGCGACGCCGCGUGAGGGAUGACGGCCUG